UUUAAUUGAAGAGUUUGAUCAUGGCUCAGAUUGAACGCUGGCGGCAGGCCUAACACAUGCAAGUCGAACGGUAACAGGGAGCAGCUUGCUGCUCUGCUGACGAGUGGCGGACGGGGGAGUAAUGU
rnacentral:rRNA from 1 species